AUGGACCCCCCUUCAUAUGAGGAGGCCAGUCGCCAACCUCCUGCUCUGCCCAUUGCAGCUUUUAACGCCCCCCCACCUGCCUAUGACGCCUCUCUCUCAUCCCCACCGACACCUCCACCUGCCUACAGAGAAGCAGUUACAGUUCAGCCAGAUCCUUUUCCUGUCCUGUCUGUGCCAACUGCCGUGUCCUCGCCUCCCCACCAAAGCACUGGAGUCAUAGUCCAUCCCAUUACUCAAAUUAAUCCGCAUGCUUCUCGUGCUCGCGCUGCAGCUUCUGCUCCAGCUGCUGCGUCCUCGCGUUCCCGACAAG